GACGAACGCUGGCGGCGUGCUUAACACAUGCAAGUCGAACGGAAACGCCCUGCUUUUGUGGGGUUCUCGAUUGGCGAACGGGUGAGUAACACGUGAGUAACCUGCCCUUGACUUUGGGAUAACUUCAUGAAACUGGGGCUAAUACCAUAUAGGAGCUCCUGCUGCAUUGUGGGGGUUGGAUAGUUUCAGCGUUUGGGGAUGGACGCGCGGCUUAUCAGCUUGUUGGUGGGGUAGUGUCCUACCAAGGCGUUGACCGGUAGCCGGCCUGAGAGGGUGAUCGGCGACACUGGAACUGAGACACGGUCCAGACUCCUACGGGAGGCAGCAGUGGGGAAUAUUGGACAAUGGGCGCAAGCCUGAUCCAGCCAUACCGCGUGGGUGAAGAAGGCCUUCGGGUUGUAAAGCCCUUUUGUUGGGAAAGAAAAGCAGCAGGUUAAUACCCCGCUGUUCUGACGGUACCCAAAGAAUAAGCACCGGCUAACUUCGUG
rnacentral:rRNA from 1 species